AGCGAACGCUGGCGGCAGGCCUAACACAUGCAAGUCGAACGAACCUUUCGGGGUUAGUGGCGGACGGGUGAGUAACACGUGGGAACGUGCCUUUAGGUUCGGCAUAACUCAGGGAAACUUGUGCUAAUACCGAAUGUGCCCUUCGGGGGAAAGAUUAAUCGCCUUUAGAGCGGCCCGCGUCUGAUUAGCUAGUUGGUUGAGGUAAUGGCUCACCAAGGCGACGAUCAGUAGCUGGUCUGAGAGGAUGAUCAGCCACAUUGGGACUGAGACACGGCCCAAACUCCUACGGGAGGCAGCAGUGGGGAAUCUUGCGCAAUGGGCGAAAGCCUGACGCAGCCAGGCCGCGUGAAUGAUGAAGGUCUUAGGAUUGUAAAAUUCUUUCACCGGGGACGAUAAUGACGGUACCCGGAGAAGAAGCCCCGGCUAACUUCGUG
rnacentral:rRNA from 1 species